AGAGUUUGAUCAUGGCUCAGGACGAACGCUGGCGGCGUGCCUAAUACAUGCAAGUAGAACGCUGAAGAGAGGAGCUUGCUCUUCUUGGAUGAGUUGCGAACGGGUGAGUAACGCGUAGGUAACCUGCCUUGUAGCGGGGGAUAACUAUUGGAAACGAUAGCUAAUACCGCAUAACAAUGGAUGACACAUGUCAUUUAUUUGAAAGGGGCAAUUGUUCCACUACAAGAUGGACCUGCGUUGUAUUAGCUAGUAGGUGAGGUAAUGGCUCACCUAGGCGACGAUACAUAGCCGACCUGAGAGGGUGAUCGGCCACACUGGGACUGAGACACGGCCCGGACUCCUACGGGAGGCAGCAGUAGGGAAUCUUCGGCAAUGGGGGCAACCCUGACCGAGCAACGCCGCGUGAGUGAAGAAGGUUUUCGGAUCGUAAAGCUCUGUUGUAAGUCAAGAACGGGUGUGAGAGUGGAAAGUUCACACUGUGACGGUAGCUUACCAGAAAGGGACGGCUAACUACGUGCCAGCAGCCGCGGUAAUACGUAGGUCCCGAGCGUUGUCCGGAUUUAUUGGGCGUAAAGCGAGCGCAGGCGGUUUGAUAAGUCUGAAGUUAAAGGCUGUGGCUCAACCGUAGUUCGCUUUGGAAACUGUCAAACUUGAGUGCAGAAGGGGAGAGUGGAAUUCCAUGUGUAGCGGUGAAAUGCGUAGAUAUAUGGAGGAACACCGGUGGCGAAAGCGGCUCUCUGGUCUGUAACUGACGCUGAGGCUCGAAAGCGUGGGGAGCGAACAGGAUUAGAUACCCUGGUAGUCCACGCCGUAAACGAUGAGUGCUAGGUGUUGGAUCCUUUCCGGGAUUCAGUGCCGCAGCUAACGCAUUAAGCACUCCGCCUGGGGAGUACGACCGCAAGGUUGAAACUCAAAGGAAUUGACGGGGGCCCGCACAAGCGGUGGAGCAUGUGGUUUAAUUCGAAGCAACGCGAAGAACCUUACCAGGUCUUGACAUCCCGAUGCUAUUUCUAGAGAUAGAAAGUUACUUCGGUACAUCGGUGACAGGUGGUGCAUGGUUGUCGUCAGCUCGUGUCGUGAGAUGUUGGGUUAAGUCCCGCAACGAGCGCAACCCCUAUUGUUAGUUGCCAUCAUUCAGUUGGGCACUCUAGCGAGACUGCCGGUAAUAAACCGGAGGAAGGUGGGGAUGACGUCAAAUCAUCAUGCCCCUUAUGAUCUGGGCUACACACGUGCUACAAUGGUUGGUACAACGAGUUGCGAGUCGGUGACGGCGAGCUAAUCUCUUAAAGCCAAUCUCAGUUCGGAUUGUAGGCUGCAACUCGCCUACAUGAAGUCGGAAUCGCUAGUAAUCGCGGAUCAGCACGCCGCGGUGAAUACGUUCCCGGGCCUUGUACACACCGCCCGUCACACCACGAGAGUUUGUAACACCCGAAGUCGGUGAGGUAACCUUUUGGAGCCAGCCGCCUAAGGUGGGACAGAUGGUUGGGGUGAAGUCGUAACAAGGUA
rnacentral:rRNA from 1 species